AGUGGGCAGCUGGGGCGAGAUGUCCCCAGCUGGGGAUGUUUGUGUCUGAGUCCCUGCCCUGCGUGCCUCAGGUGCGGCCAUUCUGCAGGAAACCUGGCGGGGCUGGGACAGGGCUGCACCUCUUGGCCUCGGUGCGGAUGCAGGCUGUCAGCGGGGAGACGCGCAAGUACAUGGAGGAAUCUCAGAGCUCCGUCUGAAGGAUUUGGCAGUGGUUUAGGUGCCUGCGGGGGAGAGGAGACAAUAAGAGCGUUUGUUGGGCGGCUCAUCCAGCGAAACGUGCGGCUCUGCAGCUGGGUGCCGUGGCUGCUGUGGGAGGCCCGGCUGAAGCUGAGGCAGGAGAACCCCAGCAGGGCCUGCUUGUCUGAGGGAACAAAGUUUGUCAUCCUGAGACACCAGACCUUUGACGAGACUCAGGUAACCUCUGACAGCACGUACAGUGCUGACAAAGAGUCCCUGUCAGCCUUUGUGGAAGACUUUGAGACUUCAGUCAGCAUUGACUUUCUAGAAGACGAAGAGCGUGUUGGCGAAGUGCUAGACUGUGGUUCUUCGGAUCUAUCGGAUCGUGGAGGAACAGAAGAAGCUCAGCAUGAAGAUGAAAAGAUGACAGAAGCAGCAGCAUCCCAGAAGUUGUGAUCACACAGGCAGAUGAGGUCCAGAGAAAAAUGACGAUGUUAUUGAACCCCAUCCAUUUUUCUUCAGGGUGAAUGUUUCUGCCACCUGGCAGCAGCGCCUUCCCACAGGCUAGAAACCUUGCUACAUUCCUCGGUGCCCGCUAAGGCUAAUCAAGCUGCUUGUGUUUCAACAUGUUGUAAAAGGAGGUGUUCCAUCAAGACAAGAAAUAGCUAUUGUUUAAACAACUCCUCCAGCAUCCUGCUGCUUGAUACUUAGAUAACAACAUCACGGGAUUUUGGAGAAGCUUUACAUACCGG
rnacentral:lncRNA from 1 species